rnacentral:rRNA from 1 species
GGGUUGUGAGGUUAAGCGACUAAGCGUACACGGUGGAUGCCCUGGCAGUCAGAGGCGAUGAAGGACGUGCUAAUCUGCGAUAAGCGUCGGUGAGGUGAUAUGAACCGUUAUAACCGGCGAUUUCCGAAUGGGGAAACCCAGUGUGUUUCGACACACUAUCAUUAACUGAAUCCAUAGGUUAAUGAGGCGAACCGGGGGAACUGAAACAUCUAAGUACCCCGAGGAAAAGAAAUCAACCGAGAUUCCCCCAGUAGCGGCGAGCGAACGGGGAGGAGCCCAGAGCCUGAAUCAGUGUGUGUGUUAGUGGAAGCGUCUGGAAAGGCGCGCGAUACAGGGUGACAGC